rnacentral:rRNA from 1 species
AUUGAACGCUGGCGGCGUGCCUAACACAUGCAAGUCGAGCGGUAACAGGUGUAGCAAUACAUGCUGACGAGCGGCGAACGGGUGAGUAAUGCUUUGGAAUCUUCCCAGUAGUGGGGAAUAACCAGUCGAAAGAUUGGCUAAUACCGCAUACGUCUGUAAAGGGAAAGCGGGGGACUCGCCUCUUCUUCGGAAGAGAGGCCUCGCGCUAUUGGAUGAGCCAAAGCGGAUUAGCUAGUUGUGGGUAAUGGCCUACCAAGGCGACAAUCCGUAGCUGGUCUGAGAGGACGACCAGCCACACCGGAACUGAGACACGGUCCGGACUCCUACGGGAGCAGCAGUGGGAAUAUUGGACAAUGGGGAAACCCUGAUCCAGCGACGCCGCGUGUGU